GCGCCGUGCGGGAAGAGGUAGCCGUACGCCUGGUUCUGGGCCUGGCCGAACGGGAGGUCACCGUUCCACAGGUGCGCGGCGCG
rnacentral:tRNA from 1 species